rnacentral:rRNA from 1 species
CAGUCGCCGCGGGAACACGAAGGGUGCAAGCGUUAAUCGGAAUUACUGGGCGUAAAGCGUGCGUAGGCGGUUUGUUAAGUCUGUUGUGAAAUCCCCGGGCUCAACCUGGGAAUGGCAAUGGAUACUGGCAAGCUAGAGUGUGUCAGAGGAUGGUGGAAUUCCCGGUGUAGCGGUGAAAUGCGUAGAGAUCGGGAGGAACAUCAGUGGCGAAGGCGGCCAUCUGGGACAACACUGACGCUGAGGCACGAAAGCGUGGGGAGCAAACAGGAUUAGAUACCCCAGUAGUCCCUGUCUCUUAUAA